UCUGGACGGGGGAUCACUCGCCUUGUCCGUCGAUGAAGAGCGCAGCCAACUGUGAGAACUGAUGUAAAUUGCAGGACUCAGUGAACAUC